rnacentral:lncRNA from 1 species
UAUCCUGUUCAAGAAAUCUUUGCCUAAUCCAAGGUCAUAAAGACAUUUCCUUAUGUCUUCCUCUAAAAUCUGUAUUGUUUUACCUUUCAUAUUUAGAUCUGCAACCCACCUGGAAUUGAUUUUUGUUUAUGGUGGGAGGUAAAGGUCAAGAUGCAAUAUUUUCCUCAUAAAGAAGUAGCAAGCCAUGCCAUGAAUGAUGUUAUGAAUCCUGGCAAGGAUAAAGAAGCUUUUAAAGGCAUGUCCAUCAACUUUUUCCAAGAGAGCCAGAAAAGGAUCCGGGAGCCAUGCAUUCCUGCUGCUUCCUGUUUUUCCCCAGCCUGGGAUGGAGCAAGGGGCAGAGAUAUGAACACCUACUCUGCCCUACAACUCUUAUAACAGAUGAUGGAGAAUAAUAAGAAACAUGUAUCAACCUUUGAGAAUGUCCCCUUUGCCAGUCACUUUACCUUUCUGCAUCAGAUACAAGUGACCAGAAGAGAAACAUGUAUAGACAACCAUCCUUCAAAAAUGGAAGCUUGCAUGGCUUGAUGAUGCACACUGGCAUCUUGAAGAGGUCCAUGUGCAAGGGACUGAGGGUUCUUCCUGGUCAACCACUUGUGAGAAACUGAGGCCCUCAGUCCAACAACUUGCAAACAACUGAAUCUGCUGACAACCAUGUGAACUUGGAAGUGGAUCUUUCCCUAGUUUUUUAGGAAUAUUAGCCCUGAGCUAACAUCUGCCGCCAAUCCUCCUCUUUUUGCUGAGGAAGACUGGCCCUGAGCUAACAUCCGUGCCCGUCUUCCUCAUCUUUAUAUGUGGGACACCUACCACAGCAUGGCGUGCCAAGCCAUGCCAUGUCCACACCCAGGAUCCGAACUGGCGAACCCGGGCGGCCGAAGCAGAACGCGCCCACUUAACUGCUGCACCACCGGCCGGCCCCCACUUCACUUUUACAUGUGGGUGAGAUGAUAACACUAAAACUCAGAGACAAUGAGGAAAGUGCCCAAAUGUGGAGAGCUGCUGUGAUAGAUUGGAGUAACAUUCAGCAAAUAUUCAAUCACAUUCCUGCUUCUUUCUGGGGGUGCAGUACCUUCUAUGCUUCAUUUUGAUUUGGCCACGUGACUUUGCAAUGGAAUAUCCAUUUAAAUCGGAUAUUAUGUGAGCAGAGCUUUUAAAUGUGUUGUGUAGUUUAGCUUGCCUUUUGCCUUCCUGCUAUUUACUGUGAUAAGAAUAUACCUUGGGUGGCCACUGAUCCAUGAAGGAUGUACCUAAACCUGACCCGUAGUGUGAAGUCAAGCCCAUACUGACCACAGCUUGAAGCAAAGCUGCCAAGCCAAGCCCAGCUGAUAAAAGCCAAACUGCCUUGACAUGUAGACCCAUGAGCUAGAAAAUUAGAUGUUUGUUGUUGUAGAGCUGAGGAUGGUUUGCUAGGUAGCAUUAACAUAGAAUUAGCUGAGAAAUCCACUAAUAAUUGGGUAAGCUAAGAUUUGAACUUAGAUCUGUCAAAAUCUAUGCACUUUCCACUACACCAUACUUCAUUAGCC